rnacentral:rRNA from 1 species
CGAAGGGGCGUAGCGUUGUUCGGAAUUACUGGGCGUAAGGGCGCGUAGGCGGCCGUUAAGUUAGGUGUGAAAGUCCUGGGCUCAACCUGGGGACGUGCACUUAAUACUGGAUGGCUUGAAUUCGGGAGAGGAUAGCGGAAUUCCCAGUGUAGAGGUGAAAUUCGUAGAUAUUGGGAAGAACACCGGUGGCGAAGGCGGCUAUCUGGACCGACAUUGACGCUGAGGCGCGAAAGCGUGGGGAGCAAACAGGAUUAGAUACCCUGGUAGUCCACGCCGUAAACGAUGAGUGCUAGACGUUGGGAAGCUUAGCUUUUCAGUGUCGCAGCUAACGCAUUAAGCACUCCGCCUGGGGAGUACGGUCGCAAGAUUA